AUGGAGAGGAUGGUGGCUUCCUAUUUCAAGGAAGUUUUUACAAAGGAUCCCACGGUGAUCCCUGACAGUGUACUAAAUGACAUCAUGCUGAGAGUAACAGAUGUGAUGAACGUGACUCUUUGUGAAAAGUUCUCUGAAAAGGAGGUUUCAGAUGCCCUAUUUCAGAUCGGUCCCCUGAAAGCACCAGGUCCUGAUGGUUUCCCCGGACGGUUCUAUCAACGCAAUUGUUCAUGUUUGAAGACGGAGAUUAUUGCGGAAGUUUUAUCCUUCUUUGAAACUGGUAAGAUACCUCAAGGUGUGACUGACACUGCUAUUGUUUUGAUUCCUAAGGUACCCCACCCAGAGGACUUGAAGGAUUUUUGUCCAAUUAGCCUGUGCAAUGUCAUUUAUAAAAUUGUGUCAAAGUGCAUGGUCAAUCGGCUCAGACCUCUCUUGGAUGAGUCGAUUUCACAAAAUGAGAGUGCUUUUAUUAUAGGUAGGCUCACAUCUGAUAAUGCUAUAAUUGCAUUCGAGUGUGUGCAUUUCAUUGAGUCUCUAAGAAACAACGAUGACCUGUUCUGUGCGUAUAAGUUGGAUCUUUCAAAGGCAUAUGACCAUGUGGAUUGGGAGUUUUUGGAGAAGGCCCUUCUCAAGUGGGGUUUCUGUCCGACCUGGGUCUCGUUAAUUAUGGAGUGUGUUACUUCAGUUAAGUAUUUAGUGAAAUUCAAUGGCAAACUCUUGGAACAAUUUUCUCAGACACGAGGCCUCCGACAAGGUGAUCCAUUAUCCCCCUUCUUAUUCUUAUUUGUUGCUGAUGCACUCUCGGCCUAG
rnacentral:rRNA from 1 species